rnacentral:rRNA from 1 species
GGGGGGGGGGGGGGGGGGGGGGGGGGGGGGGGGGGGGGGGGGGGGGGGGGGGGGGGGGCGGCGCUGAUGGGAGCGGCGGACGGGGGGGGGACACGUGGGUAACCUACCUAUAAGACUGGGGUAACUUCGGGGAACCGGAGCUAAUACCGGAGAAUAUUUUGAACCGCAUGGGUCAAAAGUGAAAGACGGUCUUGCUGUCCCUUAUAGAUGGAUCCGCGCUGCAUUAGCUAGGUGGUAAGGUAACGGCUUACCAAGGCAACGAUGCAUAGCCGACCUGAGAGGGUGAUCGGCCACACUGGAACUGAGACACGGUCCAGACUCCUACGGGAGGCAGCAGUAGGGAAUCUUCCGCAAAGGGCGAAAGCCUGACGGAGCAACGCCGCGUGAGUGAUGAAGGUCUUCGGAUCGUAAAACUCUGUUAUUAGGGAAGAACAUAUGUGUAAGUAACUGUGCACAUCUUGACGGUACCUAAUCAGAAAGCCACGGCUAACUACGUG